CCUACGGGCGGCAGCAGUGGGGAAUAUUGGACAAUGGGGGGAACCCUGAUCCAGCCAUGCCGCGUGUGUGAAGAAGGCCCUCGGGUUGUAAAGCACUUUCAGUGAGGAAGAACGCCUGGUGGUUAAUACCCAUCAGGAAAGACAUCACUCACAGAAGAAGCACCGGCUAACUCCGUGCCAGCAGCCGCGGUAAUACGGAGGGUGCGAGCGUUAAUCGGAAUUACUGGGCGUAAAGCGCGCGUAGGUGGCUUGAUAAGCCGGUUGUGAAAGCCCCGGGCUCAACCUGGGAACGGCAUCCGGAACUGUCAAGCUAGAGUGCAGGAGAGGAAGGUAGAAUUCCUGGUGUAGCGGUGAAAUGCGUAGAGAUCGGGAGGAAUACCAGUGGCGAAGGCGGCCUUCUGGACUGACACUGACACUGAGGUGCGAAAGCGUGGGUAGCAAACAGGAUUAGAUACCCCAGUAGUC
rnacentral:rRNA from 1 species